UACAGAGGUCUCAAGCGUUGUUCGGAUUCAUUGGGCGUAAAGGGUGCGUAGGUGGCGCUGUAAGUCGGGUGUGAAAUUUCGGAGCUUAACUCCGAAACUGCAUUCGAUACUGCGGUGCUUGAGGACUGGAGAGGAGACUGGAAUUCAUGGUGUAGCAGUGAAAUGCGUAGAGAUCAUGAGGAAGACCAGUGGCGAAGGCGAGUCCCUGGACAACACCUGACACUGAGGCACGAAGGCCAGGGGAGCAAACGGG
rnacentral:rRNA from 1 species